ensembl:lncRNA
CUGAAUCCCACAAACGCGCCAUGCUUUAUAUCAAAUUAAUCAAAAAGAUUAACUCGUCUUUGUUGACCCCACACCUGGGAAAUUGUGGUGGGAGCUGGCUUAUUGGAGCAGCGCUGUCCAUUUACAGACGGUUCACAGGCAAGGCUUUGGAGGUUGAAAACUACUUUGGAAGACAGUGGCUGACCUUCCUGCACACAUGAUGGAUGACUGGGGCACCUGCAGAGAGGAAUUGAAGUUGAUUGGGAACCUUUUCUCAGAGCAUUGGAGCGGAUUCUCAACUACCUAGGAGGCUCCAGACAGCAGCUGUAAAGCGGGAAGCUUUCUUUCUUCUACCGUGAUGUUUCUGCCUUGGAGCCAGCCUACUGAAACCUCUGAAGCCAUGAGCCCAAAUAAACCUGCCCUCCUUUAAGUUGCAAGUGUCAGAUAUUUUGUUCAUAGCAACAAAAACCUGGCAAAUUCACCCUGAAAACAUCAAGAGAGAGAUGCUCUGGGGAAAAGAUGCUGCUGAUACUCUUGGCCCUUAGUGGCCUCAAUCCUGCAGCCUGGUCCCCACCACAACUUCACCAAAGCAAAUGGGUAUCCCAGGAGCUGACCCCAGGAGCUUGGGGGCUGAGGAACUCUAAGAGAUGCUUUGACCUCCCAGGAGUCAGAACAGGCUGAAAGAGGCAUCUACCUAUCUUAUCUAUUGACGUCAAGUGUUCUUGAAGGCACAUUUGUUGGUGGCACAAGAAAUUCAGCAGAAAUGAGCCUUGGUAAAGAAUAAUGUCCCUAAGAACUUGCUCCUCCAAUAACCAUGGCAGAAAGCACCUGGGAAGUUUCUUACAAUGCAGUCCUCAGCUCCUGCCUGCCUAGAAGUCCUGCUCCAGUGCUGCCUAGAGUCCAUGUUUUAACAGAAACAGUGUUAGUUUCCUGGGCACUUUGGGUGGGAAUGAGCUCUGAGCUGGAGAAUGUUCAGGCUCUCUGCAUACAGAUCUACCUAGGGAAUUUUUCAUAGCCCUGGGUCCAGACCACACCCCAGAUGCACGGAUCCAGAAUGCCUGGAGGAGCAGGGAGGCUGGCUGCAGUAUAGUUCCCCAGGAUACCAGGGCCUAGGAACUCUUCUAGGCUUACCUGCCAGGUUUGGCUCCCCCGACCCUACAUCUCCAUCUCCCUGCAUACCUGCUAAUCAUGAUCUUUACCUGGUUUCCGUCUCUGCUGUGCAUCGAGAAGCUUUCACCUGCCUUCUACACUCUGUGUCCUCACCCUCUGCUCUGCAGCUUCCCCUUGCUCUCCUGCUCGUCCUCUGUGGCUUUCAGCAGGGCUGUAUCUCAGUAUCCUGGCCAGUGGCUGGGCUAUCAUCUCCUCCUGUCUGGAUCCUACCCUCCUCAGUGUGCUGUGGACUGCCUUUCAACACAUGCUGGCAGCAGGCAUCUCCAGAGUUGACACUUUACCAUCCCUGUCACUUCUUCCAUCCUUCCUCUGACUUCCUGGGGUCAGGCUUUGGGCCCUGUUAUACUACCAAACUCUUCUGACCCAUCAGUGGGUUGACCGCCGGUGGAAACACUCCUUGUUUUGGGCACUGCACCUCUCUGGUCCCCCUGCCUGGCUGCUGCACCUCCCAGACCCUCUGGUAAGAUUCUACCCAUUGCCUGUGGCCCAAGCCCACCAGCUCUGAGGAGUCAUUUUCAACCUCCUCUCUCAUCUGUCUAGGUACCUGUAUUUAGACUGCAUCUUUGUUGCCAGUGUGGCUCUGUCCAGCCCAAAUCUGAGCCCUGACUCUCUGGGUCCCUUGACCUGCCAGCCACUAAGAGUACAAGGAGACACUCUCUCAAUGGAAAAAUGGUUUUUUUUAAUAAUUUGGCCAGAUGGAGAGAGAAGCUAGUCUGCUUCACCCUGGAGUGCGUGAAAGUAGUUCAAUUUGUAGAUAAGGCAGAACCCAGAAAACAUACAUGUGUAAAUUUGGCCAAGGCCCCAGCCACAGGGACUCAGGGAAUGUGGUCUUCCUCAGCUGUCAGGAGUUACAGCUGGUGACAGAGCCUCCAGGAAGCCACCCCAGUGCAGGUUUCUGAGCACACUCAAGGGUACUGUAAUCCAGAAAGGAAAAAUGGCAGACAUGAACUGUGCUAUGGGGCACAGCAGGCACAGGGGACCAGGGACAAUGAGCAAUAGCCUCAAGCACCCUCAGAGGCCCCAUGUGCAAUGCAGGGAUGUAAUAGGUCAGUGCUUACCGUCUCAGCCAGAGUACAGAGGCUGACUUCAAUGUGGGCUGUGGGAAAGGGUGUCACAACGCACCAUCCCAUCCAAGGCAAAAGGGAGGCUUUCAGAGGCAAGAGAGAUAGAGAAUCUGCCCUGGGAUUUCCUGGCUAAGUGGGAUUUGAUGACAGGACUUGGAGUGGCUCCUAGGAAAGCAUAGGGGACUCUUGGUUCUAACCAGUGCCCAACCAAAGGCAGAGGGAGCCUUCUCUUCCCUCUCAUAGUGGACUGGUUGCCAAGAACUGAGAUCAAAGACUGCAGAAUGCCCAGCCAGGGCAGGAUGUGGUCAGCUGCAGUGACAGGGCUGCAUAGUCACACCCCUUCCCAGAAGGAGUUUCCUCUCUGCAAAGACUGCCCAAGCAUGCAUGGGAGGGAAGAGAUCAAGGCAGAGGUUGACCCCAAAGUCACACUCAGAGUCCAGCCCCACAGGGAGGGUGGGACCCUGUGUGUCUUGCUGGCUAGGAAAUGUCUUAUUCAUCUUAAAGAUUAUGACAAAGGAGAGGUCCAAACUGUUCCCUGACACCAUGACUAGAGCUCUUGUUUUUGAAGUUUAAAUUUCAAGGUACUUCAAUAUGACAGCCAAAGACAAUACUCAGGAGCAACAAGCAACAGGAGAGGGAAUUACAUCAAGAAGCUAGGAAGGUUCUGAUGCCGAGCACUUCCCAAGGAUGAGCCUCAAAGCAACGAUGUUUGCAAUGCCUGGCAGGUUCAUUAAAUAAAAGAUUGAUAUUCACCUUAAUCUUUGAAUUUGCUUAUGGGGUUCUCUGCUUGCUUCAGUGCACACAUUCUAAGAAACUCUGACAUAUUUUUCAUUAGAAGAAUUUCUAGUAGCCUUCUCUUCUGAAUCCAACUGUAGAAGGUUGACUACAAAGGGGAUUCAUCAAGGGAAGAACUUGACAAUGAGGAAGCCUCCUCAAG